GUUCUACCUUGACGAAUUGUAGUUUAUAGAAGUGUUCUCUGUUAGUGGAGUGGCAAAAGUUCUUUGGAAUAGGACAUCAUAGAGGGUGAGAAUCCCGUAUUUGGUCAUUCCUCCUAGCGUUGUGAUACACUUUCAACGAGUCGGAUUGUUUGGGAAUGCAGUCCAAAAUGGGUGGUAAAUUUCAUCUAAAGCUAAAUAUUGGCGAGAGACCGAUAGCGAACAAGUACCGUGAGGGAAAGAUGAAAAGAACUUUGAAAAGAGAGUUAAACAGUACGUGAAAUUGUCAAAAGGGAAGCGUUUGACACCAGUGUUGUUUUUCCGAAAAUCAAUUACGAAUGUUUUAUUUUUGAGGAGUUAUGACUUCAUCGGCUUGCUCCUUUCUUUAUGAAACUUUCUU
rnacentral:rRNA from 1 species